AGUCGCCGCGGGAAUACAGAGGGUGCGAGCGUUAAUCGGAUUUACUGGGCGUAAAGCGUGCGUAGGCGGCUUUUUAAGUCGGAUGUGAAAUCCCUGAGCUUAACUUAGGAAUUGCAUUCGAUACUGGGAAGCUAGAGUAUGGGAGAGGAUGGUAGAAUUCCAGGUGUAGCGGUGAAAUGCGUAGAGAUCUGGAGGAAUACCGAUGGCGAAGGCAGCCAUCUGGCCUAAUACUGACGCUGAGGUACGAAAGCAUGGGGAGCAAACAGGAUUAGAUACCCGGGUAGUCCCUGUCUCUUAUACA
rnacentral:rRNA from 1 species